rnacentral:rRNA from 1 species
UACGAAGGGGGCGAGCGUUGUUCGGAUUUAAUGGGCGUAAAGGGCGCGCAGGCGGCUGAUUUUGUCAGGCGUGAAAGCCCCGGGCUUAACCUGGGAACGGCGCUUGGGACGGGUGGGCUAGAGAUCGGGAGAGGAGAGUGGAAUUCCCAGUGUAGAGGUGAAAUUCGUAGAUAUUGGGAAGAACACCGGUGGCGAAGGCGGCUCACUGGCUCGUUUCUGACGCUCAGGCGCGACAGCGUGGGGAUCAAACAGG